UACGGAGGGUGCAAGCGUUAUCCGGAUUCACUGGGUUUAAAGGGUGCGUAGGAGGGUAGGUAAGUCAGUGGUGAAAUCUCCGGGCUCAACUCGGAAACUGCCGUUGAUACUAUCUGUCUUGAAUGCCGUGGAGGUGAGCGGAAUAUGUCAUGUAGCGGUGAAAUGCGUAGAGAUCGGGAGGAACACCAAAGGCGAAAGCACUCUGCUGGGCCACAACUGACACUGAGAGACGAAAGCGAGGGGAGCGAAUGGG
rnacentral:rRNA from 1 species